rnacentral:rRNA from 1 species
UACGUAGGUGGCAAGCGUUGUCCGGAUUUACUGGGCGUAAAGAGCGCGCAGGCGGUCGUUUAAGUCGAAUGUGAAAAGCCCCCGGCUCAACUGGGGAGGGUCAUUCGAUACUGAUCGACUUGAAGGCAGGAGAGAGAAGUGGAAUUCCCGGUGUAGUGGUGAAAUGCGUAGAUAUCGGGAGGAACACCAGUGGCGAAGGCGACUUCUUGGCCUGUUCUUGACGCUGAGGCGCGGAAAGCUGGGGGGAGCAAACGGG